rnacentral:snRNA from 1 species
UUACUUACCUGGAUGGAGCAUAUGGGCGAUCAAAAAGGCCCAUAGCUUAAGUCGGCGGCCCACAUUGCACAUCGUGGGUGCGCCCGCUUAACAUCUCCCCCAAGUGGGAGAAUUUACGUCAUAAUUUGUGACAGUUGGGGGCCUGCGUUCGCGCGGCCCCUGC